GCUUGUCUCAAAGAUUAAGCCAUGCAUGUCUAAGUAUAACUCUUUUACUUUGAAAACUGCGAACGGCUCAUUAUAUCAGUUAUAGUUUCUUUGAUAGUCCCUUACUACUUGGAUACCCGUAGUAAUUCUAGAGCUAAUACAUGCAUUCAAGCCCCGACUUCUGGAAGGGGUGUAUUUAUUAGAUAAAAAUCAACUUUGUUGGUGAAUCAUAAUAACUUCUCGGACCGCAUGGCCUUGUGCUGGCGGUGCUUCAUUCAAAUAUCUGCCCUAUCAACUGUCGAUGGUAGGAUAGAGGCCUACCAUGGUUGCAACGGGUAACGGGGAAUAAGGGUUCGAUUCCGGAGAGGGAGCCUGAGAAACGGCUACCACAUCCAAGGAAGGCAGCAGG
rnacentral:rRNA from 1 species